rnacentral:lncRNA from 1 species
CCACUACCAGAUGGUUACAGACGUCGCAGUCGGUUAAUUACACCCUCUGUCUAUAAAUAAGGAACCCCCAGACACGUUCUUCUCUAAACUGGUAACUCUAUCUCGAAACUCUGUCAAAAUUUUCGCUCGAGCACUCUAUUUCUGUUGAAGUAGAGUACUGACUUGAGCAUCGGAGGAUCUUGCCGGAGCACCCCCAACUCCGGUUUAGACUUUCUUUGCAGGUUCCGACGGCGGCC